UCAAUCAAUCGGAUCUAUUAAAUUGAUAGGGUUUGCUGAUUGAUAAUCAAAUCAAAUCCUCUGCCAAAGAUUCUGACUUUUGUUUUCCUUUCUUCGGUGAUUUCGUAAGCUGAUUGAUUGACUUAUUCGAUUUUGGUUGUUUUUAAAAAAGUGGUUUCGUGUUUGUUUUGAUGGUGGAAAUGAGGAGAUCGGAGUCUGAAUUGUCGGCGAAGCGCCGAGAUGAGUUUCCGGUGAAGCUGGAGAUCGUGGAGGAUGGUCUAGAGGAAGAGCACGGUCCUCUCAACAAACGAUCUAGGUUAUGGAGCUCUGGUGGGACAAGCUCGUCGUCCCAAUGGCAGCGGCUAAGUAUAACCCUCUUGAUGAGCCGAGUCCUCUUGGACUAAGCCUUAGGAAGAGUCCGUCUUUGUUGGAUUUGAUACAGAUGAGGCUUACGCAGAGUGGUGACCCGAAAGCUGAGAAAGAGAGUAAAUGUAUCAAUGCUGCAUCAUCAGCUGGAGCGGCGUUAGCUCCAGGGAGUAUUGAGAAGCUGAAAGCUUCCAACUUUACUGCUUCGGUUUUGAAGAUUGGGAACUGGGAGUAUAAAUCAAGGUAUGAAGGUGAUUUGGUGGCGAAGUGUUACUUUGCAAAACAUAAACUUGUUUGGGAAGUGCUGGAACAAGGUCUUAAGAGUAAAAUCGAGAUCCAAUGGUCGGAUAUUACGGGUUUGAAGGCAAACUGUCCUGAAGAUGGACCUGGAACGUUGACCCUCGUGCUUUCUAGGCCGCCCUUAUUUUUCCGGGAAACCAACCCACAGCCUAGAAAGCAUACUCUGUGGCAGGCAACAUCAGACUUUACCGAUGGCCAAGCCAGCUUGUACAGGCUGCAUUUUCUGCAAUGUGCUCAAGGGAUAAUGAACAAACAUUUCGAGAAGCUUGUGCAGUGUGAUCAUCGCCUGUUCCAUCUAAGCCGUGAGCCAGAGAUAAUUAUGGACUCUCCCUGCUUUGAUACUCGGCAAUCUAUCUUUGAGGAUCCAAGUGAACCACAGGGCUAUCCUUAUGGGAAUUUGAAUCUUAGCACAGGUCCUUCAAUAGCAUCUCCUGUUGGGGCUCAGUCAUCAUCUGAACAUAUGUAUCUCUCUCAUGAAGCACCUUCCCCCAGCUCAGUGAUAGAUGCUCGUGCAAAUGAAGGAGUUGGGGAUGCUGAAGCAGUCAACUCAAGAAACACAACGGAUUGUGGUCAGAUCGGACUACACAAAUCUAUCUCACUGAGUGAUUUCCUCGCAGUUCUCUGUGAUACAAAAAUCACUACGGAUUCGGAUCAGGCUGAAGAAGCAGCUGGGCUAAACCAAUCUAUGUCAGUGAGUGAUUUGGUUGCACUACUGUCUGAUUCAAGAAACAUAACUGAUUCGAGUCAGAUAAAAGUACCUGGACUGCAACAAUCCAUAUCAGUAAGCGAUUUUGUUGGACUUCUCUCUGAUUCCGCUGGUGGAAAUAAUCCGGAACAUAUGGAGAAAUUUGAGAUCUUGAAACAGCAAUUGCUUAGUGAUAAUAUCCAGUUCGAUGCACCAGACGAGAAGUCUCUCAUGCCAAGGGUUAACUCUUUGUUCAACCUCCUGUACAAGGAUCCCAACGUUGCUGCAAACUCACAGCUCAAUACUGAAGUCUCUGAUGGAUUUAAGUCUGAAGUCCAUGAUCUGAAUGGGACAGUGCCUGCCAACAACAGCAACAACAGCAACAGAGUUGCUGAUCCUGCUUCCAGCAGCAAACCACAGGGUAUGUUAAGAAAAGACUCGUUCAGUGAUUUGCUCUUCCACCUCCCCCGAAUCACAUCCUUGCCAAAGUUCUUGUCAAACAUUUCAGAAGAAGAUGGUGGUGAUGCAUAUAAAUAGAUAUAAUUCUAUAGAUUCUGCUUUUGUUUUCAGGAUUUGGCAAGUAUAGGAGCAUGAACUAUUAGCUUUUCUGUUUUUCAUGUAAAUCAAAAUUAUCUUUUGGUGACUAAAACCCCCACAGGGAUUUGAAGAAACAUGUUUUGAUAAUGAAUUUGUGUACAUCAUCUCAACUAUAAAACAAUGUCUCAUGAGUGGCUGUCA